UAGGGAAUCUUCGGCAAUGGGGGGAACCCUGACCGAGCAACGCCGCGUGAGUGAAGAAGGUUUUCGGAUCGUAAAGCUCUGUUGUUAAGGAAGAACGAGUGUGAGAAUGGAAAGUUCAUACUGUGACGGUACUUAACCAGAAAGGGACGGCUAACUACGUGCCAGCAGCCGCGGUAAUACGUAGGUCCCGAGCGUUGUCCGGAUUUAUUGGGCGUAAAGCGAGCGCAGGCGGUUAGAUAAGUCUGAAGUUAAAGGCAGUGGCUCAACCAUCGUAGGCUUUGGAAACUGUUUAACUUGAGUGCAGAAGGGGAGAGUGGAAUUCCAUGUGUAGCGGUGAAAUGCGUAGAUAUAUGGAGGAACACCGGUGGCGAAAGCGGCUCUCUGGUCUGUAACUGACGCUGAGGCUCGAAAGCGUGGGGAGCGAACAGG
rnacentral:rRNA from 1 species